GACUGUCCCCGCCGCCAGGACAGAGACUGUCCCCGCCGUGAGGACAGUGACUGUCCCCGCCGCCAGGACAGAGACUGUCCCCGCCGUGAGGAGAGAGACUGUCCCCGCCGCGAGGAGAGAGACUGUCCCCGCCGUGAGGACAGAGACUGUCCCCGCCGCCAGGACAGACUGUCCCCGCCGCGCUGCCGCUGCCUGCGAGUGCUGCGCCAUCUUCUCACGCCGGCGCUGCUGCCACCGCGGCAAAGAACAGCUCCUGUGCCACGCUGCCGAUUCCAAGCAGCGCCAUCCUGGCGCGGGACAGAAAUAAAGCGGCUCGGAGAAGCCAGCACUGGCUCGUUCCUUAUUUCCUUUAUAAUGAAUCUCAGAGGCUGAGCCCGCGUUUCAGCAGCCGAACUGUGACCCUGCCGGCCGGCGGCAGAGGUCGGGCACGGCCGCUCCUGGGCCUGCCCCGAUCGCCUGCAGGGAUUGGGGCACGCUGGUGCACACCUCAGCUGUCUGCAGGGUGCACGGACGCUGCUGCCAAGUGAAGUUCGUGCUCCGUCAAGCGCUGCCGGUGAAUUCGCACACUUUCUGCUUGCUGCAGCUCCCGGGAAAGUCAACCCCCUCCGUUCCAGACGUGAGACGAGUUUUCUCCUGGUUCAAGGACUACCUCCGAGAUUUUCGUUUCAAGAAUCUUGGGUUUCACCUCCUUGCUGUAUUCCAGUGGAGGGGAUAUGAAGAAGGGGUCAUUGGGACCACCUCUGAUCCCCCCCAUAGGCAAGGCAGAAAGUCCCCCUCUUGGCAGUGCUGCAGGGUCUCUGCAAAUCUCUCUGCAACUGGAAUCCCAGGAGUCCCAGGAGAUGAGGCCAAGAUCCAGCAGCAGAAGCAAGGAGGAGAACUGUGAACAUGCAGGUCUCCAUGGCCAGCCACAGCAAAUGUCCAACAGCAGCCCCAUUAGGCACUUCCUCCUGCUGGCAUUGGCAGACAUGCAGCAGCUGCAGCUCCUGCACUUCUGCCUCUUGCUGGGCAUCUCCCUGGCUGCCCUCCUGGGCAACGGCCUCAUCAUCAGCGCCGUAGCCUGCGGCCACCACCUGCACACGCCCAUGUUCUUCUUCCUGCUCAACCUGGCCCUCAGCGACCUGGGCUCCAUCUGCACCACUGUCCCCAAAGCCAUGCACAAUUCCCUCUGGGACACCAGCACCAUCUCCCAAAGGAUGUGCUGCACAGAUCUUUUUCUUUCUGUUCUUUAUCACAGCAGGGCAGUCACUCCUGACCAUCAUGUGCUACAACCGCUACGUGUCCAUCUGCAAACCCCUGCACUACGGGACCCUCCUGGGCAGCAGAGCUUGUGCCCACAUGGCAGCAGCUGCCUGGACCUGUGGCUUUCUCAGUGCUCUCAUGCACACAGCCAAUACAUUUUUCUGCCCCUGGGCCAUGGUAAUGCCCUGAGCCAGUUCUUCUGUGAGGUGCCACAGAUCCUCAGGCUCUCCUGCUCACACUCCAACACCCACAGGGAAGUUGGGCUCAUUGCUAUUAGUUCCUGUUUGGUAUUUGGUUGUUUUGUGUUUAUUGUUUUCUCCUAUGUGCAGAUCUUCAGGAUCAUGCUGAGGAUCCCCUCUGAGGAGGGAAAGCAAAAAGCCUUUUCACCUGCAUCUCUCACCUGGCUGUGGUCUCCCUGUUUGUCAGCACUGGCAUAUUUGUUCAUUUGAAAACCCCCUCCAUGUUCUCCCCAACCCUAGAUCUGGUACUGUCAGUUCUAUCCUCAGUGGUGCCUCCAGCCCUUAUUCCCCUCAUCUACAGCCUGAGGAACCAGGAGCUCAAGGCUGCAGUGUGGAGACUGAUGACCAGAUGGGUCCAGAAAUAUUCAAGUGAUAGCCAAUUUCUGCAAAUUGCUUGUAAUAAAAGUCAUCUUGGAUACUU